rnacentral:rRNA from 1 species
AACGAACGCUGGCGGCAUGCCUAACACAUGCAAGUCGAACGCGUGUAGCAAUACACGAGUGGCGGACGGGUGAGUAACGCGUGGGAACCUGCCCAGUGGUAGGGAAUAACUGCGGGAAACUGCAGCUAAUACCCUAUACGCCCUUUGGGGAAAGAUUCAUCGCCAUUGGAGGGGCCCGCGUCGGAUUAGCUAGUUGGCGGGGUAAUGGCCCACCAAGGCAACGAUCCGUAGCNGGUCUGAGAGGAUGAUCAGCCACACUGGGACUGAGAUACGGCCCAGACUCCUACGGGAGGCAGCAGUGGGGAAUAUUGGACAAUGGGGGAAACCCUGAUCCAGCAAUGCCGCGUGAGUGAAGAAGGCCUUCGGUUGUAAGUACUC